rnacentral:rRNA from 1 species
AUUGAACGCUGGCGGAAUGCUUUACACAUGCAAGUCGAGCGGCAGCGCGGGGCAACCUGGCGGCGAGCGGCGAACGGGUGAGUAACACAUCGGAACGUGCCCAGACGUGGGGGAUAGCCCGGCGAAAGCCGGAUUAAUACCGCAUACGAUCUGAGGAUGAAAGCGGGGGAUCGCAAGACCUCGCGCGUUUGGAGCGGCCGAUGGCAGAUUAGGUAGUUGGUGGGGUAAAGGCUUACCAAGCCUGCGAUCUGUAGCUGGUCUGAGAGGAUGAUCAGCCACACUGGGACUGAGACACGGCCCAGACUCCUACGGGAGGCAGCAGUGGGGAAUUUUGGACAAUGGGCGCAAGCCUGAUCCAGCCAUUCCGCGUGCAGGACGAAGGCCUUCGGUUGUAACUAGCUUUGUACGGUACGAAAGACCUUCUCUAAUACAGAGGGUCGAUGACGGUACCGUAACGAAUAAGACACCGGCUAACUACGUGCCAGCAGCCG